AUUUGAGCGUAAUAUGUUUGAAAUGCCAUAUCCAUCCAUCAGCUAUAAGAAAAAGCCGCCGCAGCCCCCAAAGCAGCCGCCGCCGCCCCGCUGAACUCGGAGGAGGCUGGCGAGGACGGAGCCGAGGAGGAGGAAGCGGCAGAGGCGGCCGAAGAGGAACCCGCGGCCGAGGCAGAACCCGCGGCCGAGGCAGAACCCGCGGCCGAGGCAGAACCUGCGGCCGAACCCGCGGCCGAAGGGGCUACUGAAGCUGUUGCCGAGCCUGCUGCCGAAGCUGCCGCUGUCGACCCGGCCGUAGUGGAGGCCCCUGCUGCGGAGGUAGUCCCAGCCGACGCCACUCCCGUGGUGGAGGCGGCCGCGGUGGAGGCUCCAGCGGUGGAGGCUCCCGCGGUGGAGGCUGCAGCGGUGGAGGUUCCCGCCGCGGAGGCUGCCGCGGUCGAGGCUCAAGUGGUCGAGGCUGCAGCGGUGGAGGCUGCCGUGGUAGCGGUGGAAGCGGUGCCAGAGCUGGUGGUACUAGCGGGUCCCGUGGAGGUCCAGGCUGGGACAGCGUAAUCGCCCCAGUUUGUCACCUCAAUUUCUCUCCUACUGACCUGAGUAUUAUGUCUCAGUAGGCCUAGGUCAUGUUAAUGACGGCGGCAGAUUUUUUGUCAUUUUGCCGGAUCAUUGGACAGAUCACAGGCCGCAUAUGGUCAGCCCAGACUGAUGUUAUUUUUCUUAUGUCAUUUACUUGAUGAUGUUUGUGAUGAUCUGUG
ensembl:lncRNA